UACGUAGGGGGCAAGCGUUAUCCGGAAUUACUGGGUGUAAAGGGUGCGUAGGCGGGAUGUAAAGUCAGAUGUGAAAUACCAAGGCUCAACCUUGGGGCUGCAUUUGAAACUUACGUUCUUGAGUGAAGUAGAGGCAAGCGGAAUUCCCAGUGUAGCGGUAAAAUGCGUAGAUAUUGGGAGGAACACCAGUGGCGAAGGCGGCUUGCUGGGCUUUAACUGACGCUGAUGCACGAAAGCAUGGGGAGCAAACAGG
rnacentral:rRNA from 1 species